UACGUAGGGUGCGAGCGUUGUCCGGAAUUAUUGGGCGUAAAGGGCUCGUAGGCGGUUUGUCGCGUCGGGAGUGAAAUCCACUGGCUUAACUGGUGGCUUGCUUUCGAUACGGGCAGACUGGAGGUAUGCAGGGGAGAACGGAAUUCCUGAUGUAGCGGUGAAAUGCGCAGAUAUCAGGAGGAACACCGGUGGCGAAGGCGGUUCUCUGGGCAUGUCCUGACGCUGAGGAGCGAAAGUGUGGGGAGCGAACAGG
rnacentral:rRNA from 1 species